CCUACGGGAGGCAGCAGUGGGGAAUAUUGCACAAUGGGCGCAAGCCUGAUGCAGCCAUGCCGCGUGUGUGAAGAAGGCCUUCGGGUUGUAAAGCACUUUCAGCGGGGAGGAAGGCGUUAAGGUUAAUAACCUUGGCGAUUGACGUUACCCGCAGAAGAAGCACCGGCUAACUCCGUGCCAGCAGCCGCGGUAAUACGGAGGGUGCAAGCGUUAAUCGGAAUUACUGGGCGUAAAGCGCACGCAGGCGGUCUGUCAAGUCGGAUGUGAAAUCCCCGGGCUCAACCUGGGAACUGCAUUCGAAACUGGCAGGCUAGAGUCUUGUAGAGGGGGGUAGAAUUCCAGGUGUAGCGGUGAACUGCGUAGAGAUCGGGAGGAAUACCGGUGGCGAAGGCGGCCCCCUGGACAAAGACUGACGCUCAGGUGCGAAAGCGUGGGGAGCAAACAGGAUUAGAUACCCGGGUAGUC
rnacentral:rRNA from 1 species